GAAAUGCGAUAAGUAGUGUGAAUUGCAGAAUUCAGUGAAUCAUCGAAUCUUUGAACGCACAUUGCGCCCUUUGGUAUUCCUUAGGGCAUGCCUGUUCGAGCGUCAUUUAAACCUUCAAGCUCAGCUUGGUGAUGGGUGACUGUCCCCCCCUCGCGGGGGGACUCGCCUCAAAAACAUUGGCGGCCGGUACAUUGGCUUCGAGCGCAGCAGAAACGCGGUCUCGAGUCCUGUGGAUCGGCUCCCAUAAGCCUCUUCUUUUAUUUUGACCUCGGAUCAGGUAGGGAUACCCGCUGAACUUAAGC
rnacentral:misc_RNA from 1 species